GGCUUCGGCCCCAGUACCGCGGCAGACGGGUGAGUAACACGUGAGUAACCUGUCCUCGGGUCUGGGAUAACCACCCGAAAGGGUGGCUAAUACCGGAUAAAGUCACCGGGCGCAAGCUCGGUGAUGAAAGGGGGCCUCUGCAUAGCAAGCUCCUGCCUGAGGAGGGGGCUCGCGGCCCAUCAGCUAGUUGGUGGGGUAACGGCCCACCAAGGCUAUGACGGGUAGCCGGCCUGAGAGGGUGGUCGGCCACACGGGCACUGAGACACGGGCCCGACUCCUACGGGAGGCAGCAGUGGGGAAUCUUGGGCAAUGGGCGAAAGCCUGACCCAGCGACGCCGCGUGGGGGAAGAAGGCCUUCGGGUCGUAAACCCCUGUUCUGGGGGAAGAACCCUGACUGGGUUAAGAGCCCAGUCAGGCUGACGGUACCCCAGGAGAAAGCCACGGCUAACUGCGUGCCAGCAGCCGCGGUAAUACGCAGGUGGCGAGCGUUGCCCGGAAUUACUGGGCGUAAAGGGUGCGUAGGCGGCCGGACAAGUCGUAGGUUAAAGCCCGGGGCUCAACCCCGGAAAGGCCUACGAUACUGUCUGGCUUGAGGGCUGGAGAGGCUGGCGGAAUUCCCGGUGUAGGGGUGAAAUCCGUAGAUAUCGGGAGGAACACCGGAGGGGAAGCCGGCCAGCUGGACAGCUCCUGACGCUGAGGCACGAAAGCGUGGGGAGCAAACCGGAUUAGAUACCCGGGUAGUCCACGCCGUAAACGAUGGGUGCUAGGUCUGGGGAGGUAAUCUCUCUGGGCCGAAGCUAACGCGUUAAGCA
rnacentral:rRNA from 1 species